rnacentral:rRNA from 1 species
CAGCUAGUUGGUGAGGUAACGGCUCACCAAGGCGACGAUCAGUAGCUGGUCUGAGAGGAUGAUCAGCCACAUUGGGACUGAGACACGGCCCAAACUCCUACGGGAGGCAGCAGUGGGGAAUAUUGGACAAUGGGCGCAAGCCUGAUCCAGCCAUGCCGCGUGAGUGAUGAAGGCCCUAGGGUUGUAAAGCUCUUUUGUGCGGGAAGAUAAUGACGGUACCGCAAGAAUAAGCCCCGGCUAACUUCGUGCCAGCAGCCGCGGUAAUACGUAGGGUGCGAGCGUUGUCCGGAAUUAUUGGGCGUAAAGAGCUCGUAGGCGGCUUGUCGCGUCGGAUGUGAAAGCCCGGGGCUUAACUCCGGGUCUGCAUUCGAUACGGGCAGGCUAGAGUGUGGUAGGGGAGAUCGGAAUUCCUGGUGUAGCGGUGAAAUGCGCAGAUAUCAGGAGGAACACCGGUGGCGAAGGCGGAUCUCUGGGCCAUUACUGACGCUGAGGAGCGAAAGCGUGGGGAGCGAACAGGAUUAGAUACCCUGGUAGUCCACGCCGUAAACGUUGGGAACUAGGUGUG